AGCCGGUGAUAACAGACUUUUCUUUUCUGACACCUCGUAUGAGAGUUUCCAGCUCCCGAUUCUUAACCUUCACCUGAGGCUU
rnacentral:snoRNA from 1 species